UACGAAGGGGGCUAGCGUUGCUCGGAAUCACUGGGCGUAAAGCGCACGUAGGCGGCUUUUUAAGUCAGGGGUGAAAUCCUGGAGCUCAACUCCAGAACUGCCUUUGAUACUGAGAAGCUUGAGUCCGGGAGAGGUGAGUGGAACUGCGAGUGUAGAGGUGAAAUUCGUAGAUAUUCGCAAGAACACCAGUGGCGAAGGCGGCUCACUGGCCCGGUACUGACGCUGAGGUGCGAAAGCAUGGGGAGCGAACAGG
rnacentral:rRNA from 1 species